AAGGGUAUAGCUCAGUGGUGAAACGUUGACUGCAGAUCAAAGGGUCCCCAGUUCAAAUCUGGGUGCUUGCU